UACGUAGGGUGCGAGCGUUAAUCGGAAUUACUGGGCGUAAAGCGUGCGCAGGUGGCUGUGCAAGACAGAUGUGAAAUCCCCGGGCUUAACCUGGGAACUGCAUUUGUGACUGCAUAGCUAGAGUGCGGCAGAGGGGGAUGGAACUCCGCGUGUAGCAGUGAAAUGCGUAGAUAUGCGGAAGAACACCAAUGGCGAAGGCAGUCCCCUGGGCCUGCACUGACACUCAUGCACGAAAGCGUGGGGAGCAAACAGG
rnacentral:rRNA from 1 species